CUUUAGAAGACUGGUAAUAACAAACUUCUCUAAGUCAAAUGAACAUGUUCUAACCCAAUGCAAGGUAACUAAGAACCUUGAAAAAAGGUUAGACGAAAUGCUAACUAGAAUAACCAGUUUAAAGAAGAACAUAAAUGACCUGAUGGAGCU